rnacentral:rRNA from 1 species
AUUGAACGCUGGCGGCAGGCCUAACACAUGCAAGUCGAGCGGCAGCGGAAAGUAGCUUGCUACUUUGCCGGCGAGCGGCGGACGGGUGAGUAAUGUCUGGGAAACUGCCUGAUGGAAGGGGAUAACUACUGGAAACGGUAGCUAAUACCGCAUAACGUCGCAAGACCAAAGAGGGGGACCUUCGGGCCUCUUGCCAUCAGAUGUGCCCAGAUGGGAUUAGCUAGUAGGUGGGGUAACGGCUCACCUAGGCGACGAUCCCUAGCUGGUCUGAGAGGAUGACCAGCCACACGGGAACUGAGACACGGUCCAGACACCUACGGGAGGCAGCAGUGGGGAAUAUUGCACAAUGGCGCAAGCCUGAUGCAGCCAUGCCGCGUGUAUGAAGAAGGCCUUCGGGUUGUAAAGUACUUUCAGCGGGGAGGAAGGUGCUGAGGUUAAUAACCUCAGCGAUUGACGUUACCCGCAGAAGAAGCACCGGCUAACUCCGUGCCAGCCGCCGCCGUAA